GCAGUUAAAAAAGUGGGCAACAAACAACUGGAUUAUCGCCGACAGCAUUAAGAAGAAAAAUGUUUAUCAAAAUAGGUUUGAUUGCAAUUAAACUCUAUGCGAAAGUUCGAGAAACACGUUAAUUGGCCCAGGCGGAAGUACAGACGCAUGGCGAUGUGGUUCGGAGUAACAGGAGGCGUCAACGCAACGUUUUGAUGGCUGAUGACUUGGAAAAUUCAGAAAGCAUCGAGAAAGAUGUCCUCUCAAGAUCCGUUCUUUUCAUGACUUCGAAGUGCCGCGUCACGACGAAGGGACACCGAAGAUGAAAUCGGUCAAGAAGGCAGCCAAGAUCUGCAGGAAGUUGUACUACUGGCAGGAAACAAGAUGGAGUUGUAUGUUGUUGAUACCAUUGACGAAUAGCCAUAGAGGAGCGGCCAAAAAAAGUACAAAAUAGUAUUUACUUAAA